rnacentral:rRNA from 1 species
GGAAUAUUGGACAAUGGGGGCAACCCUGAUCCAGCCAUGCCGCGUGAGUGAAGAAGGCCUUAGGGUUGUAAAGCGCUUUCCCUGGUGAAGAUGAUGACGGUAGCCAGAGAAGAAGCCACGGCUAACACCGUACCAGCAGCCGCGGUAAUACGGAGGGGGCAAGCGUUGUUCGGAAUUACUUGGCGUAAAGGGCGCGUAGGCGGAACAUCAAGUUAGGGGUAAAAGGCCCGGGCUCAACCUGGGAACGGCCUCUAAAACUGAUGAUCUUGAGUCCGGAAGAGGAUGGCGGAAUUCCCAGUGUAGAGGUGAAAUUCGUAGAUAUUGGGAAGAACACCGGUGGCGAAGGCGGCCAUCUGGUCCGGAACUGACGCUGAGGCGCGAAAGCGUGGGGAGCAAAC